AUGUUUCUUUCCUUUGUAUGUUUCCGCCCAGUGCCUGUGCAUAGGUCCUAUGCUGACUGCUCCUGUGUUAUGGAGAGGGGAAUGAAACUGGAAGAAUCUGCAGCUCUUCCUGGACUUGGUUGUUCCAAACUUCUCAUCAAAUUAGACACUCUCCCCGCUAUUACACUCCCGACCCAAAUAACCAAGAUGCCAACAAGCAAAUACGAGUCUCGGAAAAUCUUCCAUCAAGCACUCACCAGCAGUCUAUCAUCCUAUUCCUCCACUUGGCUACUUCCUAGACUCAUCAACCAGUGAAGGAGAAAUGUAACCUUGAUCCCCA
rnacentral:lncRNA from 1 species